UGCGUGCAAUGCAAGAGACCCGGAUUCGAUCUCUGGAAAUCCAGAGGCAGGGGGUGGAUCCAGCAGACAUGCAUUCUGCUGCAAGUAACACCAAUCUCACCACUGGUAUCAUCAUCCACGGCUGUGAUGAUUCUGCAUAACAAACACCCCAAACACUUUAUUCUUUCGAAUAUGGAGUUGUUGCAGGUCAGCUGGCCUGGCGUGGUCGUGGCUGGGUGGUUCUGCUGAUCUUGGCUGGCCCCAUCCACUGCCGGCUGUUAGCUGGAGGUCUGCUGAC